rnacentral:rRNA from 1 species
ACAGUGGGGAAUAUUGGACAAUGGGCGCAAGCCUGAUCCAGCAAUGCCGCGUGAGUGAAGAAGGCCCUAGGGUUGUAAAACUCUUUCAGUAGUGAUGAUGAUGACAGUAACUACAGAAGAAGCACCGGCUAACUUCGUGCCAGCAGCCGCGGUAAUACGAAGGGUGCUAGCGUUGUUCGGAAUUACUGGGCGUAAAGAGCAUGUAGGCGGAUGGAUUAGUCAGAGGUGAAAGCCCCGAGCUCAACUUGGGAACUGCCUUUGAUACUGUUCAUCUUGAGUCCGAGAGAGGUUAGUGGAAUUCCCAGUGUAGAGGUGAAAUUCGUAGAUAUUGGGAAGAACACCAGUGGCGAAGGCGGCUAACUGGCUCGGUACUGACGCUGAGAUGCGAAAGCGUGGGGAGCAAACAGGAUUAGAUACCCUGGUAGUCCACGCCGUAAACGAUGAGUGCUAGCUGUUGGAACCUCAGGUUUCAGUGGCGCAGCUA